rnacentral:lncRNA from 1 species
UACUAGAGCGUUCAAAAUUCAAGAAAGUUCAUCUAGCAAAAAGCCAUUUCGUGCCUAAUCAACCCUCAAAAGUCCUCUCCAUCAAAAGAUCGGCCCAUGUUCUGUUCUUUCCUUCGGAGCCUGGACGGGGCUUGAUGAUCUCAUGAAGCUCUCGUACUGAACAGACCACUGCAAUUGCCCGAAUUCAAAGAUUAUUUCGGACCAACGACCUGAAAUUUAAGGCGAUCGAUGCUUAGUUAAGUGGAAAAAAAACCACGCAUCAGCCGAAAGAGAGAAAAAAAAAAAGUUCCGACCUUUGAACGGUCUCGGAACUUCGUCUUGCGGAUUUCAUAUGCGGACGAAGCUCGUAGCGGUCCCGCGUCGUGCUUUCUGCACCCACGCAGCGAUCUCCGGCACUUCCCACAUCGCCCGCCUCGCGCGCCUAGGACAGAUCGACAAUGCGCGGAGGGUGUUCGACCAAAUGCUUCACAAGCCCAUCGCGUCCUGGAACGCGGUCGUUGCCGGGUACUUCCAGAACAGCAGGCCCCACCAAGCGCGGGAGAUGUUUGACAGAAUGCCUG